rnacentral:lncRNA from 1 species
CUCCUCAAUGUAGCACCUCGACCCUUGUUCCAACGACCAUCCAUUCUAAUGAAGCCCAUACAUUGAAGGGAGUGGUCGUUGUAGGUGUCAGUGUUCAGUAGCCGGCAUACAGCCUCCUCCUCAAAACUCACACCAAACUACUCUCUUUCUUCUUUCUUCAGCUUUCAAUGACCUCACAGACUUCCUUCUUUGGGGCAGCCGCAUCUUGGGAGCCAU